AAGUCCCAAACAUAACUAAAUCAAUAUUCAAGAGAGCAGAAAAUAGAACUUUUUACCAAUUCCAUUGCAUAAAAUUUCUCAGCUAAAGAUUUCAAGAUUUGAUGUCACUGACCUCCCUAGCACACCUUGUAAUAAUCUCACAUCCUCUGUUGUAAUUAUUAGCUGCACCAGGAGCUUUACAAUUAUAAUAUGAAGCACCAGGAGUAUUACAAGGCACCAAAUCCCUCUUCAAUGUACCAUAACUAAUGUACUUUUUUUGCAUAAGCAAAACCCUUCUAUUACUUUCACUAUCCAUCAUAUCUUCUUCAUCCACCAUUUCUGAGCAUUCUUGAAGCUUUUCUGAACAACCCCUUUUCCCCAUUAGGUUAAAGUUACUAUCUUUAACUGAUUUAAGGUCAAGAACUGAAACCCCAGAACAAAAUCUCAUCUGGGCAUGGCUGAAAAGAAGCAAGAAGAAAAGGGUCUUCAAUGGAUUGAAGUAAAGUUGGGAUUUUUGCAUUUUGUGAGUUUGAGGUUGAAGU
rnacentral:misc_RNA from 1 species